GAUGAACGCUGGCGGCGUGCCUUACACAUGCAAGUCGAACGCGCCGAGAAGGGUACUUGGUCCUUUCGACGCGUAAGGCGGACGGGUGAGUAAUACGUGGGAAACCUACCCUUGAGCGGGGGAUCACCAACGCAAACGGUGACUAAUCCCGCAUAGUUGUUCGAGUCGCAUGGCUGGAAUGGGAAAGACGCCUUCGGCUGUCACUGUAGGUUGGUCCCGCGGUGCAUUGUCUAGGCGGCGGGGGAACGGCCUACCGUAGCGUUGGUGCAUAGCCGACCAGAGAGGGGGAUCGGCCAGAUUGGGAGAGGAACACGGCCCACACUCCUACGGGAAGCAGCAGUAGGGACUUUUCCGCAAUGGGCGCGAGGCAGACGGAGCAACGCGGCGUGUGUGAAGAAGGUCUUCGGGUGGUAAAGCACUGUUAUCAGGGAAGAAUAACCUAUAGAGCAGCUGUUAUAGGUUUGACGGUAUCUGAUCAGAAAGCCACGGCUAACUACGUG
rnacentral:rRNA from 1 species